GGCGAGUUUCUUCGGGGCGGAGCUCGGCCGCCAGCAUCGCAGGUAGUCGUGUUCAUCGACGCCCACCGCCACGACGUGGUCGAGGGCAAGCCACUCGGGGUCGAGCCCAUCUGCCGGGUCCUGCAGGUGGCCCCG
rfam:Pseudonocardia sp. HH130629-09, complete genome.